UGGUCCCAGAUCGCGGGGCAGUGGGGGAGGCAGGCUUGUGCCUCAGUUGUACACUCCCGUGGGGAGAGGUAGGGCGGGGGAACUUUCUCUCCAACUUUUGGUGUUUCCCAGGGGGUGGAGUUGAGGUCAGGAGGACUCAGGAAACUUAAGCAGUCGUGAAACGCUACACAUGUUCUUUUAAUUUGGAGAUUGCCAUGUGGUUUUUCAAGCAAGCCUCUUGCUACCUAAAUCAUUCUCUUCGGAUGUGCGUGUUUUGUUUUUCUGGAGUAUGGCUGGCCAAGUGGCACGGCCGCAAGUGCCUGUGCACGCCGCGGCUCCUGUUCUGUUUGUGGCAGUUUAGCGGGGAGGACCUCGGGCCCCUUUGUCUGGGCCUCCUUAAGGCAAACAGCUGUCUCCCUGAAUAUUUCCAGUGUGAAUGGUGCAGCGGGGUGGCCCUGUAGUCAGAUCCCCCAGGCUGCAGCCUCUGCUUGGAGGUGUGGGGGACAGCGGGGAACAGGAGGAGCUUGGAGUUUGUUUCACGUCCUCCUGCCUCUGACCCAAGCCUAGAGAUUCUAUGGACAGUUUCACCCCAAAUCUGCCUCUUUCAGGAGCGUGUUUACAUUGUGGGGCCUUGUCUGGAGCUAGCAAAACAAGGUGAAGACAAAACAGCGACAGUAUCUGGGGAGUACAGGCCAGCGCCGCUCCUUUUUCCGGAAAUGCCUGGGUCAAGGAGGCAAAAGGGGUUUUGGGGAAACUGUUUGUUUUAAAGGGGGGGUUUCUAGGCCGACCGCGUUGCCUUUCACCUCAUUGCAGUUUUGGGUUUUGUGCACGUUUUGGGGUGAUGUUGCUGGAGUCAAAUGCCUGUCGUCCAUGUGGUUCGAGCCCCUGAGGAGAAAGAAUUAUAGCUGUAGAGUUCAGUUGUGUGUGAGGCAAAAAUAGAGUUGAUUAUUUUAACAUUAGGCAGCAAGGCCUGGGAGCCCCAGUGAAUGUGGUGAUCCAGGCCUAAAAUGGAAGGAAAGGGAGGAAUCUUUCUGCAGAACGGUUUUGAUGUUAUAUCCCUGGUUUUACUGUGUGAAAUACAUGCCUCGGACCUCAGCGAAGCCAGUAAGUGGGCCGCUAAUUAUUUUUCCUGAUUGCUUCCUGUUGCAAUUGGAAGCUGUGAACGCACGGAAAUGGCUUUGUUCUAGUGGUCCCAGUGCUGAGAACUUCCCCAGCUCCCAAGCCCUAGUCCUCUCUCCUCGGGGCCCAAGUGCUUGUUCCAGGGCCGGCCUGUCCAGGCACCCCCUCUCCCCCUGGAGGUUCCUCCUGUAGAUGCCCAAGGCCAAGGCCGGGCCCUCUGGGAGAGCCCAGAAGGGCUGAGUGGGGUUAACCAAGUGCUGUGUGGAGCACCCUGAGAGAGUCCCCUCCAAAGCAGGGCCCCGUGUGUUUAGCUCCCCUCUUCAGUUCCAAGAAAUUCGCCGGUGAACCCGAUCCAGCAUUUGUUCAGCACUUUCCUGGGGAGAUUCACCUCGUGCUUCCUGUCGUUUUUGGAACCCGUUUAAUUUCAGCCGUGCUGUGUCACUGCUCAGGCAUUUAGUAGAACUCACACACACGGGUGGGGGAUGUAGGCAGGUGAGGCCUCUGAGUUGCUUUCUCCCUUGCAGCGACGGGUUGCAGGGCUGAUGGGGGUGGAGGGGUUUGGGGUCAGACCCACCUGGGUUUACAUGCUCAGUGGCUGUUUGACUUCGGGCACCAUACCUAGUUUCUGUUAUCUCACCCCGUUCCUCUCCCAGGCUAUGGGGAGCCCUAACUGCCCUGUGUGAGACCUUUAGCCCCAUCCCUGGCAGAGCUGCAGUGAGCGCAGUUGUGUGUCAGCGUCCUCGAUCUUUCUGGCCCCAGCCGGUCUAGAGGCUGUUAUUACAAUAGUCUGGAUUUUUCCUGUAUGACCUUGGACAUCCAGUCCACUGACAAACUCACUCACUCACCGCUGCAGCCCUCGGGGGCAGGAGUAGUUAGUUAGCACUGUGGACAGAGCCCCUGCGCCCAGGGUCUGAUUCCAGCCUGGCCGCUUCCUGUGCUGGGAGGCUUAGGAAGCUGAUGCUACCUUUGUGUGCCUCAGUUUUCUCACCUGUAAAAUGGGAAUAGAAUCCUUCCUACCAUGAAUUCAGUGAGUUAACGUGCACCUGGCCCGGUAUAAUGCUGUUGCUGUUUUGCUUUGGUGUCUGCUACCGAGUGAAGUGCUAGGGUUGAGUGCGAUAGAAUGGCAGAUAAGGCCCCGCCCCUGCGGGCAGAGCUUCCCAUGUAGAGGGGAGGACAGGGAAAGAAGCUUUGCAGCUAUGCAGAGGUGGGCCCACGGGUGCUCCUUCACCCUCGGGGUGUCCUGCGAGAGGCCCUUAGAGGCCAGAUCAUGCUGUGGAGUCUGGUUGUGAUCCACAAGGCAGCGGAAGCUUCUGGAAGGCUUUAGGCAGGAGUUACAGGAAAUGCAAGCUAAAGCCAGAUCUUUCCUAGGUGAAAGGUGUCGAGUUGUUUUUUUUUUAAAUUGAGGUGAAACUUAUAUAAUAUAAAAUAUUAAAGUAUAGAAGGCAGGCAUUUGGUACAUUCACAGUGUUUACAACCCUCUCUUCUAUCAAGUUAUAAGAGAUUUCCAUCACCCCAAAAUAAAACCCAUACCCAUUACACGGUGACUUCCCGUUCCCUCUCCCCGGAUCCCCUGGUGAACACCAGUCGACUUUCUGCCUCUGUGGUUCUGCCUGUUCUGGGCAUUUUGCAUGAAGGGAAUCUUACAAUGCGUCUUCGUGGCUGACUUCCUUGGUUACUGUAACGUUUUCAGGAGUCAUCCAAGUAGUACCACGUAUGGGUGUUUCAGCCUUUUAUUUUUUUUUUGAAAUGGAGUCUUGCUCUGUUGCCCAGGUUGGAGUGCGGUGGUGCGAUCUUGGCUCACUGCAACUUCUGCCUCCUGGGUUUAAGUGAUUCUCCUGCCUCAGGCUCCCAAGUAGCUUGCAUUACAGGUGCCCGCCACCACGCCCAGCUAAUUUUUGUAUUUUUAGUAGAGACGGGAUUUCACCAUGUUGGCCAGGCUGGUCUUGAACUCCUGACCUCAAGUGAGCUGCCGGCCUCGGCCUCCCAAAGUGCUGGGAUUACAGGUGUGAGCCAUCACGCCCGGCCUAUUUCAGCCCUUUUUGUGGCUGAAUAAUAUUCCAUUGUGUGGAGGGACCACAUUAUAUUUGUCAGUUCAUCCGCUGAUUGGAUUGAUCUUGGUUGGUUGCAUCUCCCAGCCGGCACGAGCAGGUCUCAUGCCUCCUGCAUCCUGGUGGAGGUGGCUGGUGGGAGGAUCUGGCCUGAGACUCUCCUGCCGAGGUUCAGGAACGAGCCAGGUGAUGGGGACAAGUUGGGGAGUCAGUGCUGGCAUCUCAGAGGAGGGGCCUGGGCCCUGAGAGGAGUGCUGGGAGGGCAGAGUGAGGGCCAAGUUCAGGUUACAGAAGCCGUGAGACAGCCGGACAUCUGUGGUUUGUGAGGCUUUGGAAACACUUAAUGCGCUCUCCAAAUGGGGAGUCUGUUGGGGAGGCCCUGGCGGGAGCCGGGGCUACAUCCAGGUCCUCGGCUUGGUGGCCUUGUUCACUUAUUUGUUCAGGAAGCAGCAGGGUGUGGGCUCUGUGCCAGGCCGCCCUGGAGGGCUGUCCUGGGGCCAGUGAGGUCCAAGUGUGAUGGGCGGAGGCAGCUGUGGCUUGCUACGAGCCGGCCUCAGGGACCCACCGGCUGGCUCCGGCUGCUCUCUGCAUUCUCUUCAGCUCUGGAGAGCCGUGUGCCAGCCCUCAGCCUCAGUUUCCUCAUCUGCAAAAUCGGGACGAUGGUGUCCACCUUGCCCAUGCUGGUGGGGUCCCAAGAGCUGGUGUCUGGGGUGAGGGAGCUGGGGGCCAAAAGCUCCUGCCCUGGGGCAUCCAGCUGUCCUUUGAAGAGUACCCCGAGGGUGUGACUGAGAGCCAGUCCCCAGCACCCUUGUCCAGAUGGGGACCAGGAGGUGGGUGAAGAUAUUUGGGGUCUGAGCUCUGUGCUGGUUGCCCCCGAGGGGGCCUGGAGCCCUGAGUUAGGAGCAGAACGGGGUGCUGGUCCUAUCCGUUCCCUACCUGGGUAGUGGGGGCUGCCUUCCUGGGUUGGGGGUGGGGGGAGCUCCCUGUGUCCCUAAGCCAUGCAGAGGCAUGCGCAUACGCGCUGCUCUUAGGCAUGUGGGUGGCGCUCUGAGGUCCCUGCCCAUUCCCCAGCCCCAUGUGGUGGUCCCUGUGCUCCAGGUCCAGCCUCUGGUUUCCAGUUUGUCCUAGUUUGUCACCUUGUAGGGGGCAGUUGACACUUUGCUGGCCUGACUCGUGGUGUGCCAGAGCCCGUGGCUGCUGGGCGACUGUGCCUCUUUCUCUCAGUGGCAAGAGCCUUAUUUUCUAAUAGAGCCUGAUGGGCCAGAGGUUCCGCCACAGGGACACUGUUCUCUGUCUCUCGUGCUUGGGGUCUCUUGCUGUGGACCCCCUGGGAGGUUGUCCUGGGGGUGCGGGGAUUGUGUUUUCUGGGUAUUUUCUUAUUUGCUCUAUUGGAGUGUAUUUAAUUUAAUAUAUAUAUUUUAAACAUCUUUUAGUUUGCCUUAAUGUAAUUUUUUUUGAGAUUUAAUUUUUUUUUUUUUGAGAUGGAGUCUUGCUCUGUCGCCCAGGCUGGAGUGCAGCGGUGUGAUCUCAGCUCACUGCAAGCUCCACCUCCCAGGGUCACGCCUUUCUCCUGCCUCAGCCUCCUGAGUAGCUGGAACUACAGGCACCCGCCACCACGCCCGGCUAAUUUUUUGCAUUUUUAGUAGAGACGGGGUUUCACCGUGUUAGCCAGGAUGGUCUCCAUCUCCUGAUCCUCCCGCUCGGCUUCCCAAGGUGCUGGGAUUACAGGCGUGAGCCACCACACCCGGCCUGCUUUUUUUUUUUUUUUUGAGUCUUGCUCUGUUGCUGAGGCUGGAGUGCAGUGAUUCAGUCACCGCUUACUGCAGCCUCUACCUCCUGGGCUGAAGCAAUCCUCUCACCUCAGCCCGCAAGUAGUUGGGACCUCAGGUGUGCACCACCACGCCCAGCUGAUUUUGUUGUUUUUUGUAGAGACAGGGUUUCACUAUGUUGCCCAGGCUGGUCUUGAACUCCUGGGCUCAAGCGAUCCACCCACCUCAGCCUCCCAAAGUGCUGGGAUUACAGACAUGAGCCACUGCGCUGGGCCUUAAUGUAGUUUUUCUUGUGGUUAAACUGAGGUGAAGGUUCACUCAAGGAGGAAAGUGGUUUUUAGCCUUUUGAGGGGCUCAAGGACCCCUUCAAGGAUAUGACAACGGCUCCUCUCCUGAGAAGGUGCCUGGUGGGGGCGGCACAGGCUCCACUCCACCCCAUUGCAAGAAUCCAGGGCCCUGCAGGGCUCAGAGCCCUCUCCCUGCCUCCCUGUGGGGCAUUGAGAGGCACUCACCUUCUGAGGGCCUCAGUUUCCUUUUUUUGUAAAAUAGAACCAGCUGAUUCCAAUCUCUAUGGUCUCUUCUAGCACGGAGCUUCACGUUUUUUCUCCCUUCAGGAUCCUGAGGCCUCUGGAUCGCUAGAGAUUGGGGGUGCCCCCAGAAGAGGCGCUGCUUCUGUGCCCUCCCUCACCCCACCGUGCCUGGCUCCUUGUUUUUUUUUUUUUUUUUUUUUUUGAGACAGGAGUCUCACUCACGCCCAGGAUGGAGUGCGGUGGCACGAUCUCGGCUCACUGUAACUUCUGCCACCCUGGUUCAAGCGAUUCUUGUGCCUCAGUAGCUGGGACUACAGGCAUCUGCCACCAUGCCCAGCUAAUUUUUGUAUUUUUAGUAGAGACAGGGUUUUGCCACGUUGGCCAGGCUGGUCUCGAACUCCUGACCUCAAGUGAUCUGCCUGCCUCGGCCUCCCAAAGUGCUGGGAUUACAGGCGUGAGCCACCAUGCCCAGCCUGCCUGGCUGAUUUUUUAAAAUUUGUCGUUGAGAUGGGUGUCUUGCUUUGCUGCCCAGGCUGGCCUUGAACUCCUGGGAUCAAGCGAUCCUCCCACCUCAGCCUCCCAAAGUGUUGGGAUUACAGGCAUGAGCCGCUGUGCCCAGCCUAUUUUAUUAUUAUUAUUAUUUAAUUUUAUUUUUUCUCACUAUUGCCCAGCUCCUGGCCUCCAACUCCUGGGCUCAAAGGAUCUUCCUGCCUCAGCCUCCUGAGUAGCUGGGACUGCAGGCAUGUGCCAUCACACCCUACUUUGUACUUUUGCUUUUCUGUCUUUGCUCUUGUUAAAAGCCAAGUGCCAUUUCAUAGUACACAGGUGCACUUGACAGCAUUUACCUGAUUGAGGAGUUUUUCCAGCCUUCAUUGCUAUUACAAAGCAUGCUUGCUCGUGUGUCUCUGCAUGUGUAUAAGUGUUUUUAUAGGAUACAUUCCUAGUCAAAGAGUGUGUCCAUUUCUGUUUUUAAAGAUAUUGAGGCCGGGCACAGUGGCUCAUCCAGGUAAUCCCAGCACUUUGGGAGGUUGAGGCAGGAGGAUCACUUGAGUCCAGGAGUUCGAGACCAGCCUGGGCAAAAUUGGGAGACCCCCCAUGUCUACAAAAAAUUUAAAAAAUUAGCUGAGUAUGAUUGCACACUCCUGUAGUCUCAGCUACUUGAAAGGCUGAGGUGGGAAAAUCUAUUGAGCUCAGGAGGUCAAGGCUGCAGUAAGCCAUGAUCACAGCACUGCAACAGAUCUAGCCUGGGCAACAGAGCGAGACCCUGUCUCAAAUACAUACAUACAAGCAUACAUACAUACAUAACUCCUAAAAGGCUGUAGCAGUUCAUACCUGCAAGCAUCUACGAGAACACACACUUUCCUAUAUCCUCUCUGAUGCUGGCAAUUACAAGAUUUUGGUUUUUGGUGUUUUCUUUGGUCCAGUUUGGUUAAAAAUUAUAACACCUUUUGAUUUGCACAACCCUCAUUUCUGGUUUAUUGGUAUUUACUUUUCUGCAAAUUGCCUACACUUAUCCUUGGCCCAUUUUUCUGUUGUCUUUUUCUUUUCUUUUUUCUUCUUCUUCUUUUUUUUUUUUUUUUGAGACAGAGUCUCGCUGUGUCCUCCAGGCUGGAGUGCAGUGGCGCGAUUGCCAUCUUGGUUCACUGCAACCUCUGCCUCCCGGGUUCCAGCUGUUCUCCUGGCUCAGCCUCCCAAGUAGCUGGGACUACAGGCAUGCGCCACCACGCCUGGCUAAUUUUUGUAUUUUUGGUAGAGACAGGGUUUCACCAUGUUGGCCAGGCUGGUCUCGAACUCCUGACCUCAAGUGACCUACCCAUCUCCGCCUCCCAAAGUGCUGGGAUUACAGACAUAAGCCACGGUGCCAGCCUGUUUAUCUUUUUCUUAUAGAUUUGUGGGAGGUCUUUAUUUGGUAUGGACUUUAAUUCUUUGUUCUGUUUGUUUCAGGUUUCACUGCUGGUCUGUAGCUAGUCCUUCAUCCUUGUUUCUGGUGGUACAUUAUCAUAAAGAUAUUAAGAAGCUUCAUAUAAUCAUAACUCUACUUUUUCCCUAUGGCUUUUUUCCUAUCCCUUGUUACUCCAUCUCCAGAUUAUAAAUAUAUCCUCCAUUAUUUUCUUCCAGGACUGUUACUGUUUUAUGUUUUACAUUCAGACAUUAUUCUGUCUGGGUUUUUUUUUUUUUUUUUUUUUUGUAUAUGGUAUGAGGUAGGGGUCUGGCCAGUGAAUAGGGAGUUGUCCAACACCUUGGUGGGAUGGUCCAUCCUAUCCAUUCAUUGUAAAUGCUGCUCUUUUAUGUGUAGUGUCCACAGACACCUGGGUCCUGAUUCCAGACCCUUCACUGUGCUCCACUGCCUGUGAGUGUCUUUGUGUACCGGAAUGCUGCUGUCUCCAUCUCUGAAGCAUCAGAACAUAUUUUAAGAUCAGUUAUGUAAAUUCCCACCUCAUUGUCCUUUUCAAAAGACGUAUUGGCUCUGCUUGCACGUUUAUGCUUUUGUGGUGAACUUCAGAGCCGUCCUAUCAGGUUCCACCCUUUGAUCUCUUGAUCUGGGGACGGUAAAUGGUGAUAUCCAGCAGGUGUCAGAGGGCUGGAUUUUAAAUGGCCUCCGAUGAGCUGGCGGUCUCAGGCUGUGGAAGUGAAUUCAUCUGCUGGGUGCAGUGGAGCCGGCCUUGACAUUUGUGGGUUUUGCUGACAUUUGUGGAAGGCUCUGGAGGUGCCCUUUGUGCCGACUUGCCCGAGCCACUCCUGCUGCCCAACUCACUCCGGUGUCUGCUCAGGAAAGAAAUUCUAAUGCACACUAAUUUUAGCAUUAGCCCGAUGGCAAAUAUAAUUACUGAGUUAAUUAUCACUCCCCUCCCUAGUUAAUCCCAGAGCAAAAUGUGGGCACCUUUCAUUUCUUCCUUGGGAUGUACCCCUGUAUUAGUUCAGAUGGGGAGGCGGUACCUGCCUGGCAAAGCUCUCAGGAAAUUGCUCAACGGGGCAUUAAUAGCUAUCUGAGCGUGUGGCCUGGGCUGGAACACACCAGCCUGGGUGCUGGGUGUCUUCCAGGCUCUGGCCACCUUGGGUUCUGCCCCAGGAAGGAGCAGACUGUCUCCUCUAGGGGACCUGAAGCUUAACGUCCUCACUGUACGAGAUAGUUUUGGAGCAAGAUAUGUUCUGGGGCUUGCUUCUGCGGGUAAAGGCCAUUUCUCCAAACUUUCCCCCAGAGCGAACUUGCUUCCCAAAAGGAGUCUGGAUCCGGGCGUGGCCGUGCUGCCCUGGCCGCCUCCUCACUUCAGCUGGAGCCUCCGAGCUGACGUCCAUGCCUAUUCCUCCUGAGCACUGUAGACACAGGCCCCAGCUCUGUCCCCUGCCCUCUCCUCCACUCAGACUCCCUGGGCUCUGAGGCUUUACCUACAGGCCCUGCGGUGCAUAUUCAGUGAAAGCCUAGAUUCAGAGCCAAUGACAUCAGCUUUUACUUGGUCUCCUUGCUUUCUGGAACCUCCCCUUUGCCCAUUUAUCUUAUGCUCUGGCCAGAUUAAUUUUUCUCCAAGUAGUUUUCAUCACAUCCUUCCCUUUCUCAGACAGUCGUGCCCAUUCUCCAGCAUCUGAAGUUGGAACUUUUUGGCCUGGCAGGCCGUGCCGCCCUGAGCAGACCUGCCCAUCUUCUGCCCCUGGUGUGGGCACUUCUCUUGCCAGAUCUGUCUGGAACCUUCCAUGGUCCACCCAACCUGGGAGGGCCUUGAGGACAGGGGCUGUCUUCGUCUGCGCCCCUCUGCCUCUAGUGUGAUGUCUGGUAGAUGAUCAGUAACUGUUCUGAGGCCAAGGCCUCAUCUGUCCAGGGAGCAGAUCUUACCCAUCUUUUACCUCCUCUGGCUCGAAUUCUGCUGGAGCAUGAGCUCCCUCUAGCCUAGGUUGUAGAACACCUGUCUGGCUAUGUGACAGCUUCUGGGCCAAGUGUGAGGACCCCCAUGGUCCUGCAGUAAGAGCCCAUAUUUCUGGGGUGUGGGAAACCCAGUGUACCCCAAAGGGACUUGACUGUGAAGUCCCGGGUCCACGUGGUACCCACCAGCCUCCUAGGGCCCAGACUCCGUGAGAUGCCACGGUGGGGGCUUGGGCAUUUGCAGCCUUCACUUGGCAUUCUUACCAUUUUCAGGAAACUUUAUAUAAACAUUUUUAAUCAUGCAAAAAAGGAAUUAUGGAAUAAUAAAUGUUUAUAUUAAAAAGUCUUGGUGGUUUUGAUUGAUUUAUUUAUUUUUUGAGAUGGAGUCUCGUUCUGUCUCCCAGGCUUGAGUGCAGUAGCACAGUCUUGGCUCACUGCAACCUCUGCCUCCUGGGUUCAAGCAGUUCUCCUGCCUCAGCUUCCUGAGUAGCUGGGAUUACAGGCACCCGCCACCAUGCCUGGGUAAUUUUUGUAUUUUUAGUGGAGAUGGAGUUUCACCAUGUUGGCUGGGCUGGUCUCGAACUUCUGACUCAGGUGAUCCACUUGCCUCAGCCUCCCAGAGUGCUGGGAUUACAGGCGUGAGCCACCAAGCCUGGCUUGGUGCUUUUUAAAUUUAUUUUGAGAUAGAGUCUGACUCUGUUACCCAGGCUGGAGUGCAGUGGUGCCAUCACAGCCUACUGCAGCCUCUACCUCCCCUGGGUUCAUGUGGUUCUCCCGCCUCAGCCUCCUGAGUAGCUGGGACUACAGGCACACACCACCAGGCCCAGGUAAUUUUUUAAAACACUUUUUUUGUAGAAAUGGGGUCCCUCCAUGUUGCCCAGGUUCAUUUGGAACUCCUGGGCUUAAGUGAUCCUCUUGCCUCAGCUUCCCAAAGUACUGGGAUUAUAGGCGUGAGCCACCGCGCCUGGCUACUUUGGUACUUUUGAGUUAAAACUAUAGAGUAGGUGACUGAGUGAUAUUUUUAAUGCGUUCUCAAGAAUUUGAACACGAAGAGAGUGUCACCCUCCCAGGUUAUGCCCCCGGGAGUUCAUGCACUUGCCACCUGGUCGCUGCUCAGGGGGCCCAGGGAGUUUGCUGCAGUGCCGGAGGACUCCUGGGUCCCGGCUGUGCCUCCCCGCAGCCGCCUGCUCCCUUGGGACACUCAUUCAUUUGCUGUGGCCACUGCCACCCACAGUCCUUGCCUCGUAGACUCCACUGCAGCUCUGGUUACAAAGAGCGAGUGGUCAGGGACUCCUGACCUGCCAUGCAGGGCCCCGUGGGCUUGUGGUGGCUUUGGUGCCGUCCGCUGCGUCUGCCUCUUAGAGCAUGGAGUUCUCCUUCUCAGGAGGGCUGAGCUGCUGGAGCUCUAGUCCUGCCGCAGAGCAGCCCCCAAGUGCGGCGUUGCCUGUCCCUGUGGAGCAGGUGACUACCUGGCUGCGGGCGGAACAGCAGGCCAUGGCUCUGGUAGUGGUCUGUGACAGCAUAUCACCCUGUGGGACAGAUCCCCGGGACCUAGUGGGGUGGGAUAGUGAGAGCUGCGUCCACAGGGGAGGCUCAGAGACUUGUGUGCCCAGUGUGGCCCUGUGUGCUGACCCAGCUGGGCUCUGCCCUGUGUGGCCCCCAGGGUGCCCGGCGUGUGCCCUGAUGGCCUGGGGCAGAGCUCCAGAGAGCCAUGGCUGGCCGAGGGCUCACGGAUUCUCACCCGCCCCCAGUGCCUCAGGAGACACCUGGGCAGCGAACAGCUUGAGGUGUGCAGAGGAUGGGUCACGAUGGGAGGGAGGCACAAGGGGUGCUUUCCAUCUCUUUGGCCACCAGUUUUAAUUAAAAAAAAAUUUCCAUCUGUUUUGAAAGGUUUUAUCCUCUUAAGGAAAUGACGUUUAUUAAGCAACAGCCCCUUCUGCUCAUCGUCCAGCUGUGCCCACUGGCAGAGCAGAGGCUGGUGGGAUUCCGCCUGCUCCACACCAGGAGGUGCCACUUGGCUUCCCAGUGUCGAAGGCCUUCUUGGACUCAGCACACCUUCACGGCCCCGUGGGCUGUGGGUCCCUGGGUUGGGCAUGACUGACUUGGAGGGUGAUGAGAGAUCUCCAGGAUCCAGGCAGGUCUGGCACGCCACUGGGUGCUAGGCGCUGGGCUCUGGGCGGCCUCCUUGCUGUGCUUUUCUCUGAGGGUUGAGGGAGCCCUGCUCAGAGACCACCAGGUGAGCUCUGGGGGUCCCUCUGGGCUCCUGUGCCCUGCACAGCCCGGUUCUGACCACAGACCUCCUCCAUCAGGGUGGACUAUAGCCCAGAGCGGGAUACCACCACGCCCAUCACCCCCCACCCCUGGAGCCCCUGACCAAGGCCCUUCUGGGUACUUAACCAGUGAUCUGAUCUCACCACAGUCAGGGAUUAGGGCCUCUCCCGGAGGGCUGGGGUCCAAUGGUAUGAUGUGUUUCAGGUGAGAAACAGGUUCAGGGAUGUCCCCAGCCUCACUGGCUGUUGUUGGCAGAGCAGGAUGAAAGGCAGACGGGAAUGCAGAAUUGGGAUCUUGCCCUGACCCCUGUGAUCCGUGAGGCCCUUGAGCUAGAGGGAUGCACUCAGUCGAAGUGCCCGCCUCUUGCUUUGUGUUAGUGUGAAGAGGAGGGGUGGGCCCUGUUCUAUUCUUGGCUGCCCACAGCACCUAAGGCCAGCUUGGUCACCAAGGCAUGCUGGAAGGUCACCACAGGUGGCACAGGUGGCUUGGGGUGUGCUGGGCAGCAACCAUUAUGCAGCAGUGGCCUCCAAGCAGAAGCUGCUGUUUCGGACACCCGAGGUAUUCCCAGCCUCCUUCCCCUACCCCGAGGUUUGCUGGAGUCACUGAGGGGGCAGUAGCGAGCUGCAGGUGCAGGGUCGGGGUCCUGGGGGUUGCGUGUAUGCGCAGCCUCCAGAGAAGCCCAUGCAGGCCCCCCUCACCCGUUCCUGCCUGACCUGCUGUUGUGUCCUGCUCCUAGCUCUGCGGUCUGGGACAAGCACGUUAACUGCUUCAGAGCUCAGUUUCCCCAUCCGUGAUAGGGAAUGAUCUUUAUGCUCCCACAGGCUCGUCCUGAGGCUGCAGAGAGGCAGCGUUGAAAAGUACCUAGCUCAGGGCCUGGCUCAGUGACGGUUAGCUGUUAGGGUUACCAUCGCAUCGCAAUUGUUACUCCAUAGUGACGACCCCCCGGGGACUCUGGACUUGUUCAGCUCAGCUGAGAGGCUGCUUGGCCGAAACCAUCUCAGCUCUGCAUAGUGUGGCCUGGUGGCCUGUGGGUUGCGCUCAUGACAACGUGGAGCCUAUUCAGUCGGUACCGAGUGCCCUGUGCGCAGUUGGCGCUCCGUGGUUGCUGAGAGAUGUGCUCUCCAGUCUGUGGGCCAGAUGGGGCCUCUGAAGUGGAGGGGGCCCACCCUCUCUCCUGCAGCCUGCUGUGGCUCCCCAUCGCCUCUGGGAUGAGAGCAGACCCUGCGAAGCCUUGAGCUCCUGGCCCUCCAGCUGUGAGCCCAGGUGGGACCACCCAGUUACAAGAGCGUUAGGCCUGGCUGUGUAGGAGACGUGUGUCUCCACACCAGAGUCCUUGCGGCAUAUGGGAAGCCUUCAUGGUCCUCAUGGUGGGGAGGGGUCCCCGGGGAGGCAUGGAGUCUCGCUCCUAGGUUGCUGUGUGGCUUCAGCGCUCUGUACCUCCAUGCCCCUGUCCUGCAGAUGUCAACACCCAGUUGAGGAGAACGUGGACUUUGCCCAGUGUUGUGCAGGGAUGGUGGGGCCAGGCUGGAGCCCACGUGUCCUGCCUUCGCCCUGGCCAAGGUGGGGGUUAUCUGCCCUGGCCAAGCUGUGCCGCCCGUCCCUGCCCGCCCCAGCAGGUGGGGGCCUGCGGUGGGAUCCCACCCAUGAGCAGUAGAGGCUUGUUGACUUACUGGCCUCCCAGGCUCCCCCUCCAAAGCCAAGUCCUCCAGGACGGUUCUUGCCCCUGAGAAGGGGCAGUGUGGGUGCUGGGCUGCAGCGAGCCCCUCUUCGUUCCAUUUCCUCACAGUCUCGGGGACGGAGGGCUUGUCCUGGAGCACAGGACCGGGAUUGUGCUGAGGUCCUGGGAGGCCACGGUCAUGAGGGGACCCAGUGAAGGCCAGGAGGGGACAAGCAUCCCUCCAGGUAUGGGGAGGGUCACCCCAGCGCCUCUGCGGAUCUGACCCACUGGCUGCGGCUCCUGUGCUUGACCCUUUUGGCAAAGAUAUGCAGUGGUCUUUCAGUUGCCCCCCCUUAGGCAGCAUGAAAACAAUUUAACUCUUGCAGAAAGAACCUGGGAAUUGAUCUCCCCUGUCACUGAUCCCACAAGUGUGACUUUGCAUUGGUUUCUUGGUCCCCUUGUGCCCAGUCUCCCCAUCUGUAAAAUGGGGUGACAGUAGUUCCACCUCCUAUGAGGACUGAGUGAAGUCAGGAACCAGAAGCAGCUCCCACAUGAGACUCAGAAAGUGUGACAGGCGUGGAGGGUAGGGACCCAUGAAGCUAGGCCCGGCACCUUAGGAAGAAGAGGGAGCUUUCCUGCAGGUUUCCCCCGGACGGAAUGUGUUUCGUCCUGUGCACCUGCCUGCAGAGCCCCUCGCACGCUGUCAGUCCACAAUGAAUGCUUGGUGGAAGAGUUCACCCAGGGCCUGCAACACCAUAGUGCUCAGCUUCUCCAAAUUCUUCUUAACUUCCAGACUCGACACGUAAACUUGAUUCCAAGGAAAUCAAAGCUGAUCGUCAACACUGGACUUUGCAGGCAGCUCCCAAACCCACAUGCAUAUUUACAACUAAGAAAUGCCAGUUCCUCAAAGAAUGUUAGCCUCUGAGAUGCAUCAGGAGACCAGGAGGCAAGGGGUUAAAGGCAAACCGUGGCAUUCCCCAAAUCUGUCCAGUUCCCUGGCAUGGUACAGUGUCGCGGAGCCCGAGGUGGCAUCUUUUGUUUGGCUGCUGAUGGCGGCCUUCGGGCCUUGGCAUCCACGUUGCUGCAAUUUUCCAGGAACAGUAGAUCAUUUGAAAGUAGAGCUGCCACGUUUUGCUCAAUAAAGGGAUUUUGUAGAGCGAUGAUAAA